rnacentral:lncRNA from 1 species
UACCAGCAAUACCAGGAUACCAGCUGUCCUAAUCACUUGCUCUCUGGGUACACCCCAGAGCUCCACUGCUGGUCCCCUGGGGGCUUGUGGCAUUUUUCUAGGCUGCAAGCCUUCCCUACUUCUCAGAGCAAGCCCUCAACAAUGCAUCUGCAGAUCCAUCUUCUUGGGAACAGCAACAAAAAACUUCUGCAAAGUGAAAGAGCCUAAGAAUGUCACAGUGAGAGGGGGCAGCUCAGAGCUCUAGUCCAUGUCCCUCAAGUGAAGAGGAAACCAAAACCCAAAGCCACGAAGUGACCAGCCUGAGGGUAACACCUGGAUGAUAAUUCACAUUAGUGGGUGGAGGCAGAAGACAGGCAAGGCAUCAAGGCCUCUGUGUUCCAAGAACUAGAGCCAGUGUUGGAGCAUACAUCCUCAGUUGGCCUACUUGUGGAAUGGAGCGCAGGAAGUUCAGCCAACACAGGCCACACGCUGCUGCUGGGGAGGAAACUCUUGCCAGCUACUCCCAUGGAAACAAGAAGCCCUGUUGAGACCACUCUGGAGCCCCAGCCAAGUCAAAAACAAUGCUCCUGUCCUGGCCUCAUCUUGCCUAACGUCCUUCCCUCCCAGCUGGCUGCUUGGGCACAUCACCUCUCAACUAACUGUUUACCCAACUCUACUUCAAACAGAAAAUGCCUAUUCCUGUUGGUCUAAUAAAAUUUCAUCUGCUUUUUCCAAGCCCCAAGGCAGAAGCAAUUUUGGUAAAAUGUGCCCAAUAGCACUAAUC